UUACUAUUAUUGUAAUGCUAUUAUAGCACUCAUUUUCCCUUAGCAUUAUCAUUAGUGUCGACUAGAGUGCUACCUAUAGUUUCUUUCAAUCGUAAACAUAGAUAAGAAUACUAAUCGUGAAUAAUAUAUGGUGUAAUUAUUUUACUUUUGUUUUAUUAACUGCAUGCCCCAUGUAAUAUUGUGCAUAAUACUCUCGAGUAAUUUAAUGCAUGAAGUCCUGCACUAAUAUAGUUUUGGUGUGCAUUGGAUCAUUUAUAGCACACAUUAAACUUUUAGUUUUUUUAGGGUCAAAAAAGGUCGACAAAUUUUUUAAGUAUUUUUCCAUGUCAUCUUGACU